ensembl:lncRNA
UGCGUCAUUGCGGAGCGGCGCGUCCAACCCACAGUUGGUUAAUGGGAAUCCGCUGACGGAGCACAACCAGUCGUUCGCGCGGGCACGUGUAUGCGCGUAUCAGGAGGUCUUCGACUGAAACUGGAUGGAAAGUCUUGACUGCGACGACACCGACCCGGCGGGAAAUUGUCUUACGGCGAACGGAGUGUUAUUCCCACGAUGCGCUGACUUCUAGGACAUGUUCACAGUGAUCAUCGGUUACAGAUAAACUCCACCUGGCGUCUCCACUCCGUCGGCAGCCAUGGCUCUCUCUGUAUCUGGAGGGACCCUGUUCACCGUCCUCCUCAUUAGCAGGGGGGAGACGGAGAGGUGCUGGCUAUCUCGUCCGUCUCGGGUCGCCUCAUUUUCUCCUCAUUUUCUCCUCCACCAUCAAUACUCAGUAACAACUCCCCACGCGUUUGACCAGCGAGCGCUGAAAUCCCCGGGCGCUGCCGAAAUGAGCGGUCGGAGCGGCUUCCUGCACAAAAGAGAAUGCCUCUCCCUUUUCUCACAGUUUGUUUUUCAAUGCGAGGAACACACCGUGCACAUUUCACAUACGGCAAACCCGUGGGGUCUCGUUGGAUCCCGCCAUAAAAUAUUCUGUGUGUGGUGCGCUUCUUCUCUGUGGGAUUCAUGUGCUGGGGCGGGUUGCAUGCCACACUGGUACGUAGCCGAAUGCAUGUUUUUAGUGUAGAAAUCCAUACUUGCAGCAUUUUCCAGCAUGAGGUGAAUUCAUUUCAUGAAUCGGUGGUUGUUGAAGGGUUCCAUGCGGAUCACUUUUGUAGUGAUCGUUGUUGCGUUUGAGUGAAUCGUCUGUUUCAUGUACAAUGACCUUGUGGUCCUCCCCGCUGUGGACUCAGAACUAAAAUACACUCAAGGCCUUUCUUUAAGAAAUACAUUUGUACAAGUCAUCUAUGUCCCUAAUCAAUAAGUAUAGAAAUGUUAUUUUAAUGUGAAAUUCUACCGUUAAACAGGACAAUCAACUUUGUUGGCUUAGGAAGACUAAACUACUGUUCCAUGCAAUCAUAGCAAAAUGUUAUUUCUACCCAAACAUUGUUAGUUGUUUAAUCAAUGUCAUCAUCUGCAAAAAAAAAAGAUGCCAUUAUUAUUAUAGGAAAGUUGCAGUUCAUUGGCAUAUUGUGUCAACAAAAAGGAAGAGCACAUGAAAAAAUGUGUCUGUCUCCUUACAAU